rnacentral:misc_RNA from 1 species
GAUGAAGAACGUAGCGAAAUGCGAUAAGUAGUGUGAAUUGCAGAAUUCAGUGAAUCAUCGAAUCUUUGAACGCACAUUGCGCCCCUUGGUAUUCCAUGGGGCAUGCCUGUUCGAGCGUCAUUUGUACCUUCAAGCUUUGCUUGGUGUUGGGUGUUUGUCUCGCCUUUGCGUGUAGACUCGCCUUAAAAUAAUUGGCAGCCGGCGUAUUGAUUUCGGAGCGCAGUACAUCUCGCGCUUUGCACUCAUAACGACAGCGUCCAAAAGUACAUUUUACACUCUUGACCUCGGAUCAGGUAGGGUUACCCGCUGAACUUAAGCAUAUCAAUAAGCGGAGGA